UACGUAGGGGGCAAGCGUUGUCCGGAUUUAUUGGGCGUAAAGAGCGUGUAGGCGGCCAUGUAGGUCCGUUGUGAAAACUCGAGGCUCAACCUCGAGACGCCGAUGGAAACCAUAUGGCUAGAGUCCGGAAGAGGAGAGUGGAAUUCCUGGUGUAGCGGUGAAAUGCGCAGAUAUCAGGAGGAACACCGGUGGCGAAGGCGGGACUCUGGGCCGAUACUGACGCUGAGGAGCGAAAGCGUGGGGAGCAAACAGG
rnacentral:rRNA from 1 species